UGCAGUAGACGCACAGUUUAUACCGUAGCUUGCUACACCAUAAACUGUGAGUUGCGAACGGGUGAGUAACGCGUAGGUAACCUGCCUGGUAGCGGGGGAUAACUAUUGGAAACGAUAGCUAAUACCGCAUAAUAUUGAUUAUUGCAUGAUAAUUGAUUGAAAGGUGCUAUUGCAUCACUACCAGAUGGACCUGCGUUGUAUUAGCUAGUAGGUGAGGUAACGGCUCACCUAGGCGACGAUACAUAGCCGACCUGAGAGGGUGAUCGGCCACACUGGGACUGAGACACGGCCCAGACUCCUACGGGAGGCAGCAGUAGGGAAUCUUCGGCAAUGGACGAAAGUCUGACCGAGCAACGCCGCGUGAGUGAAGAAGGUUUUCGGAUCGUAAAGCUCUGUUGUAAGAGAAGAACGGGUGUGAGAGUGGAAAGUUCACACUGUGACGGUAUCUUACCAGAAAGGGACGGCUAACUACGUGCCAGCAGCCGCGGUAAUACGUAGGUCCCGAGCGUUGUCCGGAUUUAUUGGGCGUAAAGCGAGCGCAGGCGGUUAGAUAAGUCUGAAGUUAAAGGCUGUGGCUUAACCAUAGUACGCUUUGGAAACUGUUUAACUUGAGUGCAGAAGGGGAGAGUGGAAUUCCAUGUGUAGCGGUGAAAUGCGUAGAUAUAUGGAGGAACACCGGUGGCGAAAGCGGCUCUCUGGUCUGUAACUGACGCUGAGGCUCGAAAGCGUGGGGAGCGAACAGGAUUAGAUACCCUGGUAGUCCACGCCGUAAACGAUGAGUGCUAGGUGUUAGGCCCUUUCCGGGGCUUAGUGCCGCAGCUAACGCAUUAAGCACUCCGCCUGGGGAGUACGACCGCAAGGUUGAAACUCAAAGGAAUUGACGGGGGCCCGCACAAGCGGUGGAGCAUGUGGUUUAAUUCGAAGCAACGCGAAGAACCUUACCAGGUCUUGACAUCCCGAUGCCCGCUCUAGAGAUAGAGUUUUACUUCGGUACAUCGGUGACAGGUGGUGCAUGGUUGUCGUCAGCUCGUGUCGUGAGAUGUUGGGUUAAGUCCCGCAACGAGCGCAACCCUUAUUGUUAGUUGCCAUCAUUCAGUUGGGCACUCUAGCGAGACUGCCGGUAAUAAACCGGAGGAAGGUGGGGAUGACGUCAAAUCAUCAUGCCCCUUAUGACCUGGGCUACACACGUGCUACAAUGGCUGGUACAACGAGUCGCAAGUCGGUGACGGCAAGCUAAUCUCUUAAAGCCAGUCUCAGUUCGGAUUGUAGGCUGCAACUCGCCUACAUGAAGUCGGAAUCGCUAGUAAUCGCGGAUCAGCACGCCGCGGUGAAUACGUUCCCGGGCCUUGUACACACCGCCCGUCACACCACGAGAGUUUGUAACACCCGAAGUCGGUGAGGUAACCU
rnacentral:rRNA from 1 species